UAAGAGCGUACGGGGGGAUGCCUAGGCUCUCAGAGACGACGAAGGACGUGGUAAGCUGCGAAAAGCUACGGGGAGCUGCAAACUAGCGUUAAUCCGUAGAUGUCCGAAUGGGGAAACCUGCAUGGUUGAAGACCAUGUACCGAAAGGAGUGAACCCGAUGAACUGAAACAUCUAAGUAGUCGGAGGAAGAGAAAACAAAAGUGAUUCCGCAAGUAGUGGCGAGCGAACGCGGAUUAGCCCAAACCGAUUCGAUACGUCGGGUCGGGGUUGUAGGACCUGCAAAAAGGAUGAUAAACCAAGUGGAAGUUGUUGGAAAACAGCACCGUAGAGGGUGAUAGUCCCGUAUACGUAAGUUGGUCAUCUGGGCGGGUAUCCUGAGUAAGGCGGGACCGGUGAAAUCCUGUCUGAAACUGCCGGCACCAUCCGGUAAGGCUAAAUACUCCUGAGAGACCGAUAGUGAACCAGUACCGUGAGGGAAAGGUGAAAAGAACCCCAGCAGGGGAGUGAAAAGACCCUGAAACCGUACGCUUACAAGCGGUCGGAGCUAUACUUCGGUAUAGUGACGGCGUCG
rnacentral:rRNA from 1 species